rnacentral:rRNA from 1 species
GACGAACGCUGGCGGCGUGCUUAACACAUGCAAGUCGAACGGAAAGGCCUUUUCGGCGGUACUCGAGUGGCGAACGGGUGAGUAACACGUGGGUGAUCUGCCCUGCACUCUGGGAUAAGCCUGGGAAACUGGGUCUAAUACCGGAUAGGACCGCACUUUAGUGUGUGUGGUGGAAAGUUUUUUCGGUGUAGGAUGAGCCCGCGGCCUAUCAGCUUGUUGGUGGGGUAAUGGCCUACCAAGGCGGCGACGGGUAGCCGGACUGAGAGGUUGGUCGGCCACAUUGGGACUGAGAUACGGCCCAGACUCCUACGGGAGGCAGCAGUGGGGAGUAUUGCACAAUGGGCGCAAGCCUGAUGCAGCGACGCCGCGUGGGGGAUGACGGCCUUCGGGUUGUAAACUCCUUUCGCCAGGGACGAAGCGUUUUGUGACGGUACCUGGAGAAGAAGCACCGGCUAACUACGUG